UUUGGGAAAUGAUGAAAAAGAUAAAAACUGGUAAAGCAGAAGCUCCAAUGGGUGUGCUAUGCUGAAUGAGUUUGCACGUCAGUCUGAUCCCAAA